rnacentral:rRNA from 1 species
AAACGCUUCAGUUUAAGAAUGUAAACCUGCGUAUAACGCUUCUAUAUACAACUUUCAGCAACGGAUCUCUUGGCUCUCGCAUCGAUGAAGAACGCAGCGAAAUGCGAUAAGUAAUGUGAAUUGCAGAAUUCAGUGAAUCAUCGAAUCUUUGAACGCAC